rnacentral:rRNA from 1 species
UUUAUGGAGAGUUUGAUCCUGGCUCAGGAUGAACGCUGGCGGCGUGCCUAAUACAUGCAAGUCGAGCGAACGGACGAGAAGCUUGCUUCUCUGAUGUUAGCGGCGGACGGGUGAGUAACACGUGGAUAACCUACCUAUAAGACUGGGAUAACUUCGGGAAACCGGAGCUAAUACCGGAUGAUAUUUUGAACCGCAUGGUUCAAAAGUGAAAGACGGUCUUGCUGUCACUUAUAGAUGGAUCCGCGCUGCAUUAGCUAGUUGGUAAGGUAACGGCUUACCAAGGCAACGAUGCAUAGCCGACCUGAGAGGGUGAUCGGCCACACUGGAACUGAGACACGGUCCAGACU